rnacentral:lncRNA from 1 species
UUGGGAUGCUCGGAGUGUGGGGGUGCCGGAAGCCUCGGAGGUGUGUGCCGGGGGGAUACCUCGUGAUGCUAGUUGGGAUACGAGAUGCCCUAAGUGUGUGUGCCGGAUGCCCGGAGGUGUGUGCCGGAGGUUCCUCAUGAUGCCAAGUUGGAUACGAGCGAUAAAUUGUGGGAUGAAAACACUGGUCCCUGGAAAGAUAAAAAUUGAGACUGUAUCAUAUGGCAUGGAUAUAUGCAUGAAUGCUUGAUGAUAAGUGCAUGGUGGUAUAUGCACAUAUGGCAUGGAUAUAUGCAUGAAUGCUUGAUGAUAAAUGCAUGGUGAUAUAUGCACAUAUGGCAUGGUGAUAUAUGUAUGGCUAUAAGGUAAGGUAUGCUUGAAUGCAUGAAUGAUAUGUGUUUUAUUCUUGAUUGUUCUGUUUGACGC